CUUUCUCCCCUGCAUCUCAGCCAUAAAUCGGUUCCCCUGACCCCAAAUCCAACUGCGAUGAACAGAGAGAUUCAGUUGUGGAUGAUUCUUAAAGAUGAUUCGAUCACAGUUGCUCACCGCUACAGCGACGGAUGAUUCUCUCUAUAUCCUUGUUGUCCACUGCACUACCAUCGCACCACCACAUGUAACUUCCAAUUCAGCCUUCCCAUUGCAUUUCAACUCCGUUAAAUCACAUUUGAUUUAAUGUAUUUGACUCUUGAGCUUGAUAAGGGAUUUUAAUUGUUAUUGUUCAUUGUACUCUUAAAUCAAAUUCGUAUUUUUAUUUGGUGCUUUGCAGUUUGCACACAACCUAUUUGAUGAAAUGCCACAUAGAGCUGGAUCAAUUGUUUUGUGGAAGAAUAUUGGGUUUCAAGGCAACAAAACUAAUUAGACUAAAAUAACAUAUGGAGGGCUUUCUCAUUGCUAUGUGCUCUACUGGAAUUCUGGAAAUAUCCUUUUGGCCAUAGUCCUUGCAAUAUGCACCUAGGGUGGUAUCACUUUUGGAGAACAUAUUGUCUAAUUCGGGUGAGGAAAUUGAAUCUAUGGUCGUAGACUUGAUGGAGCGUUGGAUUAAGGAGGUGUUUGGGGUCCGGACAUGAACUCUGUAAAGGUAUCUCAAGGAACUAGUGAGAUUGUUUUUGCACAUGAAAAGCAGAUAACUGUCAAAAGCCAUCAAUGAGUUCGUGCUGCUAUAUAGUUGAAAUUUGAUUUUCAUAGGGCCGUCUACAACCUCAACACUUUUUGGGUUAGUUUAAAGAACUUUACUUCUCUACAAUUCCGGUUGCAAGCAUGGAUUGAAGACAUUGGUUUGGGUUAAAAGUAUGAAGACAUCAGUCGGUCACUUUCAUAUUUAGAGUUAUAUGUAUUGUUGUGUUACUGGAAGACUU
rnacentral:lncRNA from 1 species